AUACUUCCCUGGCAAUGGAGACACAGUGAUCAAGAAAGGAUCAAGCUUAUCCUUUGCACUCCCAAUGUGCUGACCCCUGCGAUUUCCCCAAAAGUGGGAAACUCAACUGCAUAAUUUAUGGUAGUGAGAGGCUGCAUUCAUGCUGUCCCACG
ensembl:snRNA U1 U1 spliceosomal RNA